rnacentral:rRNA from 1 species
UUAAAUGUUUAAUUAAACAUUUAACUUGAUAUUGGGGAACCAUCCUCAAAGGCUAAGUAUAAAUGUUUAGCGAUAGUGUAAAGUAGCGUGAGCGAAAGGUGAAAAGAAUGUCGAUGACACCAAUUUGAAAUAAAACCUGAAUUAGCAAUCAUAUAAGCAAUUAAAGCAAUUCUCUAGGAGUAAUUCGAAAGAAUGUAAUAAUGUACCUUUUGUAUAAUGGGUUAGCGAGUUGAUGAUAGUAGCAAGGUUAAUAACCCUAGCGAAAGCAACUGGCAUUUAUAUGCGCGGUAAAUAGUUACUAUCUUCAGACCCGAAACGCGGUGAUCUAUCCAUGACCAGAUUAGUAAAUAGAUCGAAUGGGUCAAUGUUGCAGUAUUGUCCAAUGAGUUGUGGAUUGUCGGUGAAAGGCCAAUCUGACCGCGAUAUAGCUGGUACUCGACGAAACAUAUUUAGGUAUGACUUUCUGAUAUAGAUUUAUGCGGGUACAGCACUGAUUACUAUACUAAGUUCCUUUGGAAUAAAGUUUAAUUGGGGGGUUGUUAAAACUCUAUCAUUGGUAAUUAACCUCGGAACAACAUAAAUUGAUGCAGGAAAUUUCAGACUACUCAUGAUAAGGUGGGUAGUCGAGACGGAAACAGCCGUGAACAUAGAAUAAGGUCCCAAAAUGAUGAUUAAGUGAAAUUAAGGCAGUGGUGGUUCUCAUACAACUAUAAAGUUAGCUUGGAAGUUGCUAUCUUUUAAUGAAAGUGUAACAACUUAGUAGUCUAAUGAAACGCUGCACCGAAGAUUAACGGGUCUAGAUCAUCUACCGAAACUAUGUCUAUAUUUAUCUUCGUUCAAAGAGCUAACUAGAAAAAUACAAAUAUUGUUUUCGAAAGAUUCUAUAGAAGUAUGAAGUAUCGUUAGUCCCCUGGUUCUUAGAGAUUUAUAAGGGUAGUCGAGCAUUCAGUAUGGAUGAAGAAUAGUGUUUCAUUAUUUGGACAGAUCUGAAGAGAUUAUGCUAACAUGAGUAACGUAGAAAGAAGUUAUAAUACUUCUCGCCGAAUACGAAAGGGUUUCAAAGAAAUGUUAAACAGCUUUGAGUUAAAACGGUCUCUAAGGUUGCAAGCCAAUGCUGGCAAUUGAUGAGUGUCUAGUAGAAAGUCUUUGACCAAGAAAUAAAAAUUAAUAGAAAAUAUUAAUAUUUAUAUUGUAUCUGAGAAUGUGGUAUUUAUAUUGUUUUGGAAAGGCGAUAUUUAUAUUGUAUUCAAAAGUUGUGGUAUUUAUUAUUGUAUUUUACUGCAUUUCACCGUACCCUAAACCGACACAGGUUCGUAGGUAGAGAAUACUAAGGCGUAGAGAUAAUACUGUAUAAGGAACUCGGCAAAAUGCGUCCGUACACUUGAUAAUAAGGACGACCGUAAGGUGUCACAUAAUCGUGAAGCACAACUGUUUACCAAAAACACAGGCAUCUGCUAUGUUUAACAACAUUGUAUAGGUGCUGAAUCUUGUCCGAUGUCUAGAGUAUAAUAUAGGUACCAAAAGGAUAUUUAUAGAACCUCUGAUCAAUGACAGUCUUAACUAUAAGGAUUUUAACAGUAGCGAAAUUCCUUGGCCGUUAAAUGCGGUCCUGCAUGAAUAGAGUAAUGAUGCUUCAGCUGUCUCAUACAGUAUCUCAGUGAAAUUGAAUUAGCCGUGAAGAUGCGGUUUAGAAGUGGGUAGACGGGAAGACCCUAUGCAGCUUCACUACAACCAGUUAUCGUUUCGAAUCCAAGUACAAGUGUAGAGUAAAGGGGAGUCGUUAGACGUCAAUGAAACACCCUUAUUGGCUUAAUGAAGAGAAACUAAUCCCUUGUAAGGAAAAAGUGGCUGGCGGGUAGUUUAACUGGGACGGUUUCCUCCAAUAGAGUAUCGGAGGACUUCAAAAGGUAUGUUUAGAUUAGAUGGAUACUAAUUUGUUAUGUAGAACAAAAUCAAAUGUAAAGGUAAAAACAUGCUUAACUGUUAGACUGAUAAGUCGAGCAGGUACGUAAGUAGGACUUAGUGAUCCGGUGGUUCUUUAUGGAAAGACCAUCGCUCAAGAAAUAAAAGUUACGCUAGGGAUAA